rnacentral:rRNA from 1 species
AUUGAACGCUGGCGGCAUGCUUUACACAUGCAAGUCGAACGGUAACAGGUUAAGCUGACGAGUGGCGAACGGGUGAGUAAUGCAUCGGAACGUGCCCGGUCGUGGGGGAUAACGCAGCGAAAGCUGCGCUGAUACCGCAUACGAUCUGAGGAUGAAAGCGGGGGACCGUAAGGCCUCGCGCGAUCGGAGCGGCCGAUGUCAGAUUAGGUAGUUGGUGGGGUAAAGGCCUACCAAGCCGACGAUCUGUAGCUGGUCUGAGAGGACGACCAGCCACACUGGGACUGAGACACGGCCCAGACUCCUACGGGAGGCAGCAGUGGGGAAUUUUGGACAAUGGGCGCAAGCCUGAUCCAGCAAUGCCGCGUGCAGGAAGAAGGCCUUCGGGUUGUAAACUGCUUUUGUACGGAGCGAAAAGGCUCUCUCUAAUACAGGGGGUUCAUGACGGUACCGUAAGAAUAAGCACCGGCUAACUACGUGCCAGCAGCCGCAGUAACAC